AUGCGCCCUGCCUCCAGCGGGUGGCGCUCGAGUCCGACUGAACGGCGGCGGCGGGUGGCGGGCACGCGCCUAGGGCGCGCGCGCCACCCCUCUCGCCUCCACCCAACUCCCCCAUUAGUGCACGAGUUUACCUCUAGAGGUCAUCAGGCAGGAUUUACGACUGGACAACAAAAGCACGUGAUUCGAAGUCGUACCCCAUAUUUGGGUGCCUACGUAGGAGGGAACCAAGUACAUGUCCCAGUCAUUUCCAUAAUUCAUCAUAAAUUGUGCAAGGGUGCUAUAGACGCACAAACGACCGCGAGCCACAAAUCAAGCACACAUAUCAAAAAACAAAUGAGCUCUUAUUUUGUAAACUCAUUUUGCGGUCGCUAUCCAAAUGGCCCGGACUACCAGUUGCAUAAUUAUGGAGAUCAUAGUUCCGUGAGCGAGCAAUUCAGGGACUCGGCGAGCAUGCACUCCGGCAGGUACGGCUACGGCUACAAUGGCAUGGAUCUCAGCGUCGGCCGCUCAGGCUCCGGCCACUUUGGCUCCGGGGAGCGCGCCCGCAGCUACGCGGCCGGCGCCAGCGCGGCGCCUGCCGAGCCCAGGUACAGCCAGCCGGCCACGUCCACGCACUCGCCUCCGCCCGACCCGCUGCCCUGCUCCGCCGUGGCCCCCUCGCCCGGCAGCGACAGCCACCACGGCGGGAAAAACUCCCUGGGCAACUCCAGCGGCGCCUCGGCCAACGCCGGCAGCACCCACAUCAGCAGCAGAGAGGGGGUUGGCACGGCGUCCGGAGCCGAGGAGGACGCCCCCGCCAGCAGCGAGCAGGCGAGCGCGCAGAGCGAGCCGAGCCCGGCGCCGCCCGCCCAACCCCAGAUCUACCCCUGGAUGCGCAAGCUGCACAUAAGUCAUGACAACAUAGGCGGCCCGGAAGGCAAAAGGGCCCGGACGGCCUACACGCGCUACCAGACCCUGGAGCUGGAGAAGGAGUUCCACUUCAACCGCUACCUGACCCGCCGAAGAAGGAUUGAAAUAGCACAUGCUCUUUGCCUCUCCGAGAGACAAAUUAAAAUCUGGUUCCAAAACCGGAGAAUGAAGUGGAAAAAAGAUAAUAAGCUGAAAAGCAUGAGCAUGGCGGCGGCGGGAGGGGCCUUCCGCCCCUGAGUAUUUGAGCGUUUAAAGUACUGAGCAGUAUUAGCGGAUCCCGCGUAGUGUCAGUACUAAGGCUACGUGUGCCGCCCGGUCAUUCAAAUUGUCAAUUUUAGGUCCAGAAGUGUCCAAACCACAAGUUCUCAAAACUCUCUGAAAAAUGGCUCCCUCCGAGUUAAGGUAAGCUCGCCUCCUGAGCGCUUUCAAGUUUAUUUGUACUCUGGAAAACUUUCUUCCUCUCUCUCUCUCUCUCUCUCUGGUUCAAUAACUCUGAGGUUGCCUCUGAAUUCAAAAGGGCAGAGCCAACUUUUCCUCUGCCCACAUUAGCAGCGCCAGGAGCCAGCUCUGCGGAGGCACCCCGGUGAAAAGCGCCUGUGGCCGCCGCGUCCCCAGGCCUAACUUUAAUUGCUGCACAACCGCGAAUGUUAAUGACUUCCGCUGCUCUCGCCGGCGUGCAAAAGAUGAUUUUUGUGUUCGAAUGGGCCUGUGUGCGGAGACUUGGCAAGGCCGCCCCCCAUUCCGGGGCUGGCGGGGCUGGCUCGGCUGGCUCGUCGAGGGGUAGCGGAGCCCUAGGGUGGGGGCUGGGAGACUGUGGGGCGCCGGGCCGCGGGCGCCGAGGGCCGCACUGCGCUGCGGAGUGCUUGGAGUUUGAAAGAAAGGCCCAGGCAGGGCCGAGGCGGACUCUGGCGGGAUUCCUUACGGGGCUGUGGCAAUAUGUCUUCGCGGGCCGGGGUCAUUUGGCAGCACUGAAUUGAGACGGCUGCCUUCGGGGCCGAGUUUCAGGCUGGCUCGUGAGCGAGCCGGAGGGUGGCAGAGGCCGGCGAGGCGCGGGCCGCACCUCCAGGCUGGGCCCCUGGGUUGCCAGGCCGAGCCCAGGACUGUGGGGACGGCGGGUCCCCACCUGGGGGGAGGGCUCACCAUCCCCUCCCCCCGCACCCGGGACCAGGCCCUGAACCUUGUUUGCCUGCACGUUCUUUUUAUUUCGGUGGGACUGUUCUCACCCGCCUGUGAGUCUGAAGCAAUAAACUUUAUGGCCGGAUUUAACUUUAGUCUUUGAAUCCCCAGGCUAAAUGAAAGGAGUUAAAGCGCUUUCUUUUCUUCCGCCUUCCCUUUCUUCUCCCUCUCUUCGUUCCUUUUCCUCUCCUCCUUUGUAGAAUUAAGACCUGCAGGCACAGGACGCUCAAAAGGCAACUUAGGGAUCCCCUUAGGUAACACUAAAGAUUAGAGACAUUUACUCCCCCUCAACAUACAGGCAAAUUCUGUCUUCCAAACUGUGCCCUAAAGUUUGGGGGGAAGUCAAGGUGUCUUCAAUGCCCAACUUAAAAGUCCCCAGAGCCAUUAGGUUGUUUUUCCUGACACGUCAUAAAGGAUAGUUUAGGGAAGAAAUCGGUCGUUUGUCAGUAGGAGAUUUCCGCCUUUCUUUUGUUAGCUGCUCUUUCUGUUUGAUCCCAGGAAAUUUACAUAAUCUAUGAUUUCCAAAACAGUUCCCAAUAUUGCACCUACAAUGAAGUAAGGUGAAAUAAAUUUUUCCUGGGUACAAUUCCAACUUGGCCUCAGCCACCAUCCCCUCUGGCCCCAAACCCUCACAUUCUUCAGUGGCAAAGUGACUGGGGAUGCUGUGGCCUGUCCAGGGGUCUUUUUCUGGAUGGGUACCCACAAGGGACCUAGCAGAUUUCCCACACUCCCUCUGAAGAAUUAGACCAAAUUCUCCAGCUCAGAAAUGAAAUAAAAAAAAAAGAAAUAGGACCUUCUGUCGCCAAAUGCUUUUCUCCUUAGGAGCUAGAUAGUAUUCUGCAAGUGCUCAUUGGUAAAGAUAUUUACUGAGUGCUUAAAGUGAAAAAAGAAAUUAAGGUAUAGUUUUGGAAUUUCAACAAACUUUAUUGUGCAGAGGCCACUUAAACUCAGCAUAGGUCCAACAGUUGUCCCCAAAGUCAGAGGUCCAAAAAACAAACCUGGGAAGUUUUUCGAAAAAUCAAAACCCUCCCACAAGUCCCACUUCUCUGAAACAGUGGCAAGGCAAAUCCCUGAAGUCAUCCUGCGUGACCUAUUAAAGUACUGAUAUUUCAGCACUCAGGAAGAUGUGUCCGCAUCUUAGUGGGAACCAGAAUAUAAACUCUAUUUGGGUUCUCUUUUGUCAUUUUGUGUGUCUGUGAGAAUUCUGGAGUCUGUUUUGCUGCUCUGACUUUUGAGUUCUUUACUGGAAAAUAUUGGGUUAAGUUUUUAUUUUAGUUACUCAUUUGGUGAUCUUGCUUUAGUGAUUUCUUGGUGACUAAAAUUAGUAGCAGGGAAAAAAAGAGCGAUAGGGCUUCUGGCAGGUUCACUUGAGUAACUUGCCCGGAGGAAGCGUCCACACCACGUCCGUGGCCACAUCCCACCCUGGGUGUGGGAAUGGGCAGAAAGGCUGUUGGACCGAUAUCCAGCAUUACCCAAUGUAGAGAAUCUUUUCCAUGAACUAAAAAAAAAAAAAUACAGGCUAUAUAUAUUUUAUCAGCUUGCUUAUUUCUGUCUGUUGUAAUCUUUGUGAAAGUUCAGAGUUCCUAAGAGAGCAGGUUAACUCACAAGGAGUUAAAUGACUUUUUAAAAAUACAGCAUCCAGUCAGACCAAUGUGAGCGUUAUUGGAGACAUUUUUUUCUUCCUAUUUUCAUAGGAAGCAUAGUAAAGAGGAUGGCUGGUUAUCUGCUCAUUUUGUAGAUAAGUUAUUUCUUCUUGUUCAUUCUUUGGUGGAGUUUUUGCAGAGGAACUUACUUAGAAAAAAAUCUCUGUCAUUAAGGGCUUUAUGAAGACAUCCAGCCUCAGCUGGUGGCAGGAGUGUCUGUGCUCCUCAUGUUGUAAAAGGAGAAGGUGUCCAGUAUGUGCAGGGCCUCGUUUGUUUCUACAAGCUGAAGAGACAAUAUUUCCUGAACUAUAAAUAUAAUAGGAAGCUUCUAGUCACAAUUACUUAGGGGUUUGUUAGGGUUUCCAUGGUCUAAUUUCACAACAUUAUGCUGAUAUGCAUAUAUUCCUUUUCUCCUGCUCUUUCCCCUGCUUCAUUGUUGGCGGCUCUGGGAGAGCAGGACAGAAUUCUCUACCAGAAAUAGAGUCAUGUUCGUUUGUUGAGAUGUGAAGAGUAUUAUAUCCAAGCAAUUAGUGAGGGGAGAGCAAAUUACAUCCUGAAAGAUGGGCUAUUAAAGAGGAAAACAAUCCUUUUAGCUUAAAAGAUGCCCUUCGAAGCCUUUCCCCUGCCUUAGCUCGGGAGUCUGUCUGAGGUUUGCCCACCAUGGAGAGUGCAGAAUGUUGUGGGCUCCAUCCCUUUGGCUUCUAAGGCAGAAUUUCUUUCUAGUCAGUGACAAAACUAUAAACGGGGCUUCCAGACAAGGCUGAGGGGGUCAGCCGAGGUUCCCACCCACAUAGGAGAGGGGAAGCACAGUCCUGGCCAUUGUAAACCCCAGAACUGGAAGGUCUGCCUAGGUCUGUUUUGUUUGGUGGUUUUCACAAAGAAAGCUGUCCUUCUUCCACCAGGUCCCCUCCCCACAAACCGGUCUUUUCAAUAAUAAUAUUUGUUAUGAAGGUUAUUGGGUAAUUAUUGCGAUUUUGUGAAGCAGCCCUUGCUGGAGGUGAAGUCUGUCAUCGCCUAACAAAUGACGCCCGUGCAGUUCACUGCCGGGUUAAGUAAAUGCAGAGAAGAUAAAUCUGCACACCCUAGGAAUCGCCAGCAGAGCACGCUUUAGUACAAGUUCACAGUCAACUCGCCUGCCUGGGCCAGCUCUCCCAACAAUUAGGGCUGCAUCUUUAUUUUUAAAUAAAGAAAAAAAAAAUGUCUCCAACUCCCACUGCCUGCUUUCUCCCUGUCUUCUUUUUUCUUUCACUUUUUUUUUUUUUGAGAUUCCAUCCUCCUAUUCCAGAUUUUCCCUGUAAAUGUGAUGAUGAGUGAUUUUAAAAAUAAUCUCCCUCCUAUUUAAGUGCUGACAAAAAGAGGUAGGAGGCUGGUUUGACAGGAAAUACCGUCACAAACACCCAAGAAUAUCCAAUUCACCCUCUUAAUCCAAAAGGCAGUGGCAGAAGCAGGGUGUCCCUGAGAUCCUGGGGGGCCCCUUCCCCCUGAAAGAAGAGGCACAGCUUUGUGUAUCUUUGUGGCUAGUGCGUUGCAACUGCGGGUCAAAAAGUUGAGGGUCAAAAGUUUAUGUUGUACAGCACUCUUAGUCAUCUGCCCAGACAGAGUUUGAUGUCAAUGUUAGAGCUGCGAUCUUGACUAUCAGCACAAAAGAUAAAAUGGCUCGGAGUGACGCGUGUAUCAUGGUAUGGACUCCAGGUGAACCCUAGUGGUUGAAUGACCUCAAUUACGGAGGAAAGGAUAGAAAAUUCCUCUUUUCAAGAGUAAUACAUGCUGUAUUUCAUCUUGAAUUAUCGCUCCCAUUCUGAGGGAAUAGCAGCAGGUAAAUAGGCAUAGAUUACUGAAACACCAACACCUUAGAUGUUGGAGAACCAGGAGUCUGUGGGUUUGUCACAAAAUUAAGAAGCUCAAAACUCAUCAGUGGACCUUUAAGAAAUAAUGUAGCAAGUUUUCAAGGUAUCAUCAUAUCUUCAGAGGCAAGAGAACCCAGCAGGACACUUCCUUUAGUUGAAAAUUGUUAUUUUGAUUGGACAGUUUCUUUUUCUUUUUCACACAUAUAAUGAUUCCUCAAGUUUGUGAGAACAAGGGCAGGCACAGGCACUUCUCACAAAAUGUAUUCUUUGCAAUUUUCAAACACAGAAUGGUUUUUCUGCAACCUCUACCCACUAAAUGCAAAGAGUUCUCAGAGCUGGGAAGGGAAGGAAGGAAGUGGAAAUGCUCCCGCAAGGGCAGGAUUCUUCCACACUCCACCAGGGACAAAAUGCUUAUUGGUACCAUGAAAAUGUUCCUGUUGUUGGAAAAUUUUCACUAUGUUUGUUGUUAACCCAAAACCAAAUGUAAGAGAAAUGCUACAAUCUGUAAGUGGAUAACUAAACUGAAAAGAAUAUGCCAUUUGAACAGGAAAAUGGAAUCCACAAAUGCCAGACCAUUUCGUUAAGACCACCGUGAGGAACUUCUCUUCUCCAGAAAAUACUCUUUAAAAAUACAUUUGGAAUAAAAGCUAAGGAGAGGGGAAGCAAGCUCAGGAGGAAGGGUGGGAGAGUAGAAAAGAAAGGGAAUAGUGUGUUGAGGAAGUCAACUGGAACCAUGCCUCAUGUGUGAGUUGCAACUGGAGAACUAAACAAUAUUUUAUUUUUCAUGCACCUAUGUUAGCUGUAAAUGUUGGUGCCAUUAGAAUCUGUUUUCUGUUUUCUAUUGUCCUCUUCUAUGUACUGAUCUUCAAGUAAUCAGAGUAGGAAAACAGAAGAGAAAAAUGAAUUUUUUUUCUACGUUUUCCCUUUUAACUUUAGAGAUGAGUUAAUUCAACUACUCAGAAGGUGGACUCUUGCAGGGAUAUUUAAGAUCAUCCCAAUAUAUUCUGGUUGAUUGGAUUUGCUGGUGCCAGGUACGUUUAGUGGUAAAGUAAAUAUUUCCUAAGCACUGCCUUCAUGGAAGUAAUCAGAUUGCUUCCACUGUGCAAUGUGUAAAGUUUUCACUCUGGCCAAGAGCUUGAAGCCAAAUGGGGGUGUGCCAGAUGAAAAUAGACGAAAGGAAACAACCGUGGUGAUUGCUGUUAUAGCAAUGAACACUUCACCACAUCUGGGCUAGUGAAAUGAAGAAAACUGAAACCCCCUCUAUUACUCACCAAGACAAUUAUGUGUCUCUUCAAGAAAACCUUGUUAUCGUA